UACGGGGGAUGCAAGCGUUGUCCGGAAUCAUUGGGCGUAAAGAGUUCGUAGGUGGCACGUUAAGUCUGGUGUUAAAUGCAGAUGCUCUACAUCUGUUCGGCACUGGAUACUGGCGAGCUUGAAUGCGGUAGAGGUAAAGGGAAUUCCUGGUGUAGCGGUGAAAUGCGUAGAUAUCAGGAGGAACAUCGGUGGCGUAAGCGCUUUACUGGGCCGUAAUUGACACUGAGGAACGAAAGCCAGGGUAGCAAAUGGG
rnacentral:rRNA from 1 species